rnacentral:rRNA from 1 species
AUUGAACGCUGGCGGCAGGCCUAACACAUGCAAGUCGAGCGGUAACAUAGGGAGCUUGCUCCUGGGUGACGAGCGGCGGACGGGUGAGUAAUGUCUGGGAAACUGCCUGAUGGAGGGGGAUAACUACUGGAAACGGUAGCUAAUACCGCAUAACGUCGCAAGACCAAAGAGGGGGACCUUCGGGCCUCUUGCCAUCAGAUGUGCCCAGAUGGGAUUAGCUAGUAGGUGGGGUAAUGGCUCACCUAGGCGACGAUCCCUAGCUGGUCUGAGAGGAUGACCAGCCACACUGGAACUGAGACACGGUCCAGACUCCUACGGGAGGCAGCAGUGGGGAACAUUGCACAAUGGGCGCAAGCCUGAUGCAGCCAUGCCGCGUGUAUGAAGAAGGCCUUCGGGUUGUAAAGUACUUUCAGCGGGGAGGAAGGUGUUGAGGUUAAUAACCUCAGCAAUUGACGUUACCCGCAGAAGAAGCACCGGCUAACUCCGUGCCAGCCGCCGCGGUAACAC